UGCAUGAAGUCGGAAUUGCUAGUAAUCGCAGAUCAGCAUGCUGCGGUGAAUACGUUCCCGGGCCUUGUACACACCGCCCGUCACACCAUGGGAGUUGGAAAUGCCCGAAGUCAGUGACCCAACCAAAAGGAGGGAGCUGCCGAAGGCAGGUUCGAUGACUGGGGUGAAGUCGUAACAAGGUACC
rnacentral:rRNA from 1 species